rnacentral:rRNA from 1 species
GCACGAAGUUAGCCGGGGCUUAUUCUGCGGGUACCGUCAUCAUCGUCCCCGCCAAAAGAGCUUUACAACCCGAAGGCCUUCAUCACUCACGCGGCAUGGCUGGAUCAGGGUUGCCCCCAUUGUCCAAUAUUCCCCACUGCUGCCUCCCGUAGGAGUCUGGGCCGUGUCUCAGUCCCAGUGUGGCUGAUCGUCCUCUCAGACCAGCUAACGAUCGUCGCCUUGGUGAGCCAUUACCUCACCAACUAGCUAAUCGUACGCGGACUCAUCUUUUGGCGAUAAAUCUUUAUCCCGAAGGAACCAUCCGGUAUUAGCCCCAGUUUCCCGGGGUUAUUCCGAACCAAAAGGCAGAUAUCCACGCGUUACUCACCCGUGCGCCACUCGUGUAUUGCUACACGCGUUCGACUUGCAUGUGUUAAGCCUGCCGCCAGCGUUCGUU